rnacentral:tRNA from 1 species
UUAAUUGAAACCAAAGUAGAGGUAUAUUAUUGUUAAUAAUAAAAAUGAAAUUAAAUUCCAAUUAAU